rnacentral:rRNA from 1 species
UACGUAGGUGACAAGCGUUGUCCGGAUUUACUGGGCGUAAAGAGCGCGCAGGCGGUCGAUCAAGUCGAGUGUGAAAGCCCCCGGCUCAACUGGGGAGGGUCAUUCGAUACUGAUCGACUCGAAGGCAGGAGAGGGUAGUGGAAUUCCCGGUGUAGUGGUGAAAUGCGUAGAUAUCGGGAGGAACACCAGUGGCGAAGGCGACUACCUGGCCUGUCCUUGACGCUGAGGCGCGAAAGCUAGGGGAGCAAACGGG